AGUGAACGCUGGCGGUAGGCCUAACACAUGCAAGUCGAACGGCAGCACAGUAAGAGCUUGCUCUUACGGGUGGCGAGUGGCGGACGGGUGAGGAAUACAUCGGAAUCUACUUUUUCGUGGGGGAUAACGUAGGGAAACUUACGCUAAUACCGCAUACGACUUACGGGUGAAAGCAGGGGAUCUUCGGACCUUGCGCGAUUGAAUGAGCCGAUGUCGGAUUAGCUAGUUGGCGGGGUAAAGGCCCACCAGGGCGACGAUCCGUAGCUGGUCUGAGAGGAUGAUCAGCCACACUGGAACUGAGACACGGUCCAGACUCCUACGGGAGGCAGCAGUGGGGAAUAUUGGACAAUGGGCGCAAGCCUGAUCCAGCCAUACCGCGUGGGUGAAGAAGGCCUUCGGGUUGUAAAGCCCUUUUGUUGGGAAAGAAAAGCAGCAGGUUAAUACCCCGCUGUUCUGACGGUACCCAAAGAAUAAGCACCGGCUAACUUCGUG
rnacentral:rRNA from 1 species